rnacentral:piRNA from 1 species
UGAGUCUCCACUACAACGAAC